GCCGGGGUAACGAAGCCUGGCCAACCGUGCGGGACGCUGUCAGCCCGACUCAAGAUCCUGGCCACGCUGUGAUGGGGUAUCCCGUCCCUUAGGGGUUCGUGGGUUCAAAUCCCACCCCCGGCA
rnacentral:tRNA from 1 species